AGCGAACGCUGGCGGCAGGCUUAACACAUGCAAGUCGAGCGCCCGUAGCAAUACGGGAGCGGCAGACGGGUGAGUAACACGUGGGAACGUGCCCUUUGGUUCGGAACAACCCAGGGAAACUUGGGCUAAUACCGGAUACGCCCUUACGGGGAAAGAUUUAUCGCCGAAGGAUCGGCCCGCGUCUGAUUAGCUAGUUGGUGGGGUAACGGCCCACCAAGCCGACGAUCAAUAGCUGGUUUGAGAGGAUGAUCAGCCACACUGGGACUGAGACACGGCCCAGACUCCUACGGGAGGCAGCAGUGGGGAAUCUUAGACAAUGGGGGCAACCCUGAUCUAGCCAUGCCGCGUGAGUGAUGAAGGCCCUAGGGUUGUAAAGCUCUUUCAGCUGGGAAGAUAAUGACGGUACCAGCAGAAGAAGCCCCGGCUAACUCCGUGCCAGCCGCCGCCGUAAAC
rnacentral:rRNA from 1 species